rnacentral:lncRNA from 10 species
AAAACAGAGACAUAAAUACGCCCGCCCAGGGAGCUGCCGGACCGCAUGUGGGGCCCAGAGGAGGCAAGCAUGGGCGCCGCGCCAUGGAGAGGAUUGCACGUCCCGGGGGGCAGCGCGGGCUGACUCGGGGCAGAGGACUCUCGCACGCCCCAGAAAGCUCGGGAAAAAUCCAUGGCCUGAAAAACCAAUUCAAGUUUCACGACCUGCCAGGGUGCCGGCCGAGCCUGCCCGACAGAGGGAGCAGGCAGCCCUGGAAAUGGGGGUGCAGGAGCAGGCAGAGAGGCGGGUCACAUGCCGGCACCGUGGGGCCAAGCUGCUGCAGAGGGGUUCCCGGGGACGUCCGGAAGCGAAACCCUGAGAAAGGAGGCUCACACUGUGCCCCAGAUUGGCUUCCCGAGCAACCUCCCUUCUCCGGGCCUCAGUUUCCCCUUCUGCAACACAGCGAUCACCCCCGAGCAACUCUGGCUUGGUGUGGUAGGAACUGGGCACCACCAGCUGUGCACACUGUGAAGUAGGGGGAGGGGGGUCUGCGGGCGUCGCCCGCCGUAACCGUGACGACGACGGCUGUGAAAGGCGCCGGCUGUUCCUGGACCGGCGCAGUGUGUUUGCGGCUGUUGUGUGACACCCACACCCCACCAGACUUGUUUUCAAACGGCGUUUUGCUAGCCAGGCCGAACGCGGCUGCGUUCCUGCGAGCGUGCCAGCCUCUCCCUUCUCCCUGCCAACCUCGGGGGUGGCGCUGUGGCUUCCAAAAUCUCAUUACCGCCACCAUUUCCCGUCCUCCGCCGCUCCCUCCUCUCCUGCCCUCUCUCCCCCACUCUCUCUCCUUUCGGAGGAUAAAUUUCUGUAGCAGCCAAUUACAGCCGUUUGAUGUGCGUAAUGAUGGAACCGUGGAAAUUGGAACUGGCAAGGUCAGCAGGACUCAGGGACGCCGCCUCCCAGGGAGGACCCCAGAGCAUCAGAGCAGGGAGGGCCUAGAAACGCCAGCCUCAGGCCCCCAAGGCCCCCGCCGCACUUUUCAGCCGUUCUUUGCUGCUAACGCCUCAAGACCUGUGUCUCCACUGUCCCACACCCCAGCCCACAGCCUGCUCCCCACCGAUGACCGCCACGCUGUAACCAUAGCCACUUCUCAAGGCCUACUGGCUGGCCCCAGCCUCUCCCAGGACCCCACCUGCGAGGCUUCUGCCCACUUUUUCUCCAAGAGUGUCUGAGGUCAGAGCAACCACCUUCCUCUCUGGGUUAAGGAUCCAUCCCCGCAAACGCGAUGCCUGCCCCCGACCUGAGCUCCUCCCGUCCCCCGGCCGUCUGUGACCCCCUGGGCACCUAAAACACAGCCCACGCAACUAAGGAAAUGAACUUUCCGUUGUAUUUAACUUUAUUAUUUUAUAUACAAAUUUUAAAACUGAAGCAGGCUGGGCACCAUGGCUCACGCCUGUAAUCCCAGCACUUUGGGGAGGCUGAGGCAGGAGGAUCGCUUGAGGCCAGGAGUUGAAGACCAACCUGGGCAACAUAGUGAGACCCUGUCUCUAUAAAAAAUAAAAAAUUAGCUAGGCAUGGUGACACGAGCCUGAAGUCCUAGCUAUUGAGGAGUUUGAAGUGGGAGGAUCGCUUGAGCCCGGGAGCUGGACUCUGCAGUGAGCCAUGAUUGCACCACUGCAAUCCAGCCUCAGCACCUGAGUAAGACCCUGUCUCUAAAAAAAAAAAACUGUAAAAUGUCUCGUGGAUAUUUUUUAUAUUGACGAUACGUUUAAGUGACC